UACGUAGGGUGCAAGCGUUGUCCGGAAUUAUUGGGCGUAAAGAGCUCGUAGGCGGCUUGUCACGUCGACUGUGAAAACCCGGGGCUCAACUCCGGGCCUGCAGUCGAUACGGGCUGGCUUGAGUGCGGUAGGGGAGACUGGAAUUCCUGGUGUAGCGGUGAAAUGCGCAGAUAUCAGGAAGAACACCUAUGGCGAAGGCAGCUCUCUGGGACGGUACUGACGCUGAGACGCGAAAGCGUGGGGAGCGAACAGG
rnacentral:rRNA from 1 species